UGUCCUGCAGAAGCAGGGCGGAAGCCAGGGUGUCAGGGAUCUGUCUGGACAGCGGAUUUACAGCCAAGCCCCUAGUGCUUGUGGUCUCAAAGGAAUUAAGGGUUUAGGAGUUUCAUAAACAGAAGCAAGCAGAGGAAAGACAAUUCUUCAGUAACUCCAGUGAAGGGAAAGAGCUAAUUCUGAACAUCUCAGUGCUAACAACUGUGGACUUUAAAAUACACACCGGCUUCAAACUGCCAUCUGCAUCUGAGUACCACACACCUGGGGCUCUGCACAACCCUCAUGCUGGCCAUCAACUUUUUAUGUGGAGUUAGGAAGAAACAAAGGAGGUGGCACUGUUCUAGCCCUGCCCAACAGCACAAGGUGUUCACAUCAGAAGCCAUAGAGAGCAUGGACUUCAAGGAUAUCAGCUUCUGAAGUGCUGGUGACAGGCAGCAGCACCAGCCCAGCAGCAAAUGAAAGAAG